rnacentral:tRNA from 1 species
GGAGUCCGAGGGGCCACUUUUGGUGAGGUGUUCCGUGGUUAACACUCGGAAUGAGGGGUUCGAUUCCCCUUGGCUCCACCA